rnacentral:rRNA from 1 species
AACGAACGCUGGCGGCAUGCCUAACACAUGCAAGUCGAACGAGACCUUCGGGUCUAGUGGCGCACGGGUGCGUAACGCGUGGGAAUCUGCCCUUGGGUUCGGAAUAACAGUUGGAAACGACUGCUAAUACCGGAUGAUGACGUAAGUCCAAAGAUUUAUCGCCCAAGGAUGAGCCCGCGUAGGAUUAGCUAGUUGGUGAGGUAAAGGCUCACCAAGGCGACGAUCCUUAGCUGGUCUGAGAGGAUGAUCAGCCACACUGGGACUGAGACACGGCCCAGACUCCUACGGGAGGCAGCAGUGGGGAAUAUUGGACAAUGGGCGAAAGCCUGAUCCAGCAAUGCCGCGUGAGUGAUGAAGGCCUAGGGUGUAAAGACUCUUUUACCCGAGAUGAUAAUGACAGUAUCGGGAG